AACGAACGCUGGCGGCAGGCUUAACACAUGCAAGUCGAGCGCCCCGCAAGGGGAGCGGCAGACGGGUGAGUAACGCGUGUGAAUCUACCCACCUCUACGGAAUAGCGCAUGGAAACGUGUGCUAAUACCGUAUACGUCCUUCGGGAGAAAGAUUUAUCGGAGAUGGAUGAGCCCGCGUUGGAUUAGCUAGUUGGUGGGGUAAAGGCCUACCAAGGCGACGAUCCAUAGCUGGUCUGAGAGGAUGAUCAGCCACACUGGGACUGAGACACGGCCCAGACUCCUACGGGAGGCAGCAGUGGGGAAUAUUGGACAAUGGGCGCAAGCCUGAUCCAGCCAUGCCGCGUGAGUGAUGAAGGCCCUAGGGUUGUAAAGCUCUUUCACCGGUGAAGAUAAUGACGGUAACCGGAGAAGAAGCCCCGGCUAACUUCGUGCCAGCCGCCGCCGUAACAC
rnacentral:rRNA from 1 species